UACGUAGGGUGCGAGCGUUAAUCGGAAUUACUGGGCGUAAAGCGUGCGCAGGCGGGCUUUUAAGCCAGACGUGAAAUCCCCGGGCUUAACCUGGGAAUGGCGUUUGGGACUGGGAGUCUGGAGUGCGGCAGAGGAGACUGGAAUUCCUGGUGUAGCAGUGAAAUGCGUAGAGAUCGGGAGGAACAUCCGUGGCGAAGGCGACUACCUGGACCAGCACUGACACUGAGGCACGAAAGCGUGGGGAGCAAACAGG
rnacentral:rRNA from 1 species